UAAAGGUAUAGUUAAUUUUUUUUUUUUUUAUUUUUAAAAAACUUAAGUACCUUCUCUCUUACUUUACUCUUUUAUUUCUCACGAUCCCUCGCCACACGAUUUCUUCCCUCUCCUUAUCAAUUUCUUCCAUCUCUUCUCAAUCUCAUUUUCAACCUCUUCUCCGACGAAUAGUCACCGCGCACACAAUCGUCGUCCCUCGUGUCCAGCCAUCGCCGCGUCUGUUACUGUUGUGCUCGUUCGUUGUCUGUUCACAGUCCUCAUUCCUCACGUUUGCGCGUUCGUGCCUGCCCUCGCUACCACCGUUCCUAGCCCUUUCGUCGACCACUAGCUGCUAAAAAGCUUUUCCCACUCUUUCACGACUUCAUCGAUGUUCUUUCUUCUCGUUCUUGCUGUGAAAUCUCAUUUUCAAUACUUCAAUCCUUUUUUUUCUUCCGUACAAAAUUGGAGAACAUAGUUUCAUCCCAGGUUAGGGAUUUUCUUUUAUGUUAAAGCACUUGAGUGUGGUUUUAUCCUUUUAGGUUUAAUAUAUACACAUAUGUUCCCUUAACUCUGGAAAUUGCUGAGCUUUCUUUUAGGUUUAUUCUUUUAUGGAACUGAACGCAACUGCUGAGCUUUCCUAUUGGAGACGUUCGUAUGGAUUGUUUUACGAACGUUUUUCCAACGUUUUACUAUUGUUUUUCCAACUUUCCUAUUGGAAAAAGCAUCAUCAGCGCAUGAAUUGUUUUACAUGAGGAACAGAAUGUUGAAGGAAGGAGAUAGGAGACGUUCGUACCUUUUACCAAUUGAAUAAAGAACAAUUGAAUAAACUAGAAACCUAAACCUGGUGCUCGAGUGUUAUAUCUAGGUGCUGCGUCUGGGACUACCGUAUCUCAUGUCUCUGAUGUUGUUGGCCCUACUGGUAUUGUGUAUGCCGUGGAAUUCUCUCAUAGAAGUGGUAGAGAUUUGGUCAACAUGGCAAAGAAGCGCACUAAUGUUAUACCCAUCAUUGAAGAUGCCAGACACCCAGCCAA